rnacentral:tRNA from 1 species
AGGUCUACUGCUCGCAGGACAACCGCG